UACGUAGGGGGCGAGCGUUGUCCGGAGUUACUGGGCGUAAAGCGCACGCAGGCGGUCUGUUAAGUUUGGAGUGACAGUUGGUGGCUCAACCACCAAAGUGCUUUGAAAACUGAUAGACUUGAGGGCUUCAGAGGGACACGGAAUUCCAGGUGUAGCGGUGAAAUGCGUAGAUAUCUGGAGGAACACCGGUGGCGAAGGCGGCAUCCUGGACCGGCAUUGACGCUGAGCGAGCGAAAGCCAGGGGAGCAAACGGG
rnacentral:rRNA from 1 species